CAUUUUAAUUAAAAGGUCAAAUGGUGUAGAAAAGUCUCAAACACCAAGCCUUCACUACUCCUCGCAACUUAUGUCCAACUUUUCUUUAAAUUCCCUUUCCUUACUUCUUUUUAUUCAAUCCCCAAACUGAAAUUAGGUCAUUAUUUUCCCUUCAAGGCGUUGGCAGCCGGUGUUCUCCCCUCUUAUCUUCACUGUAGACAAAUCCAAGGAGUAGAUCUGUGCUAAAUGAAUGAACACCAGGACAUCCCUUGCCCAAUAAGGGUUGUUUCGGACGCUGAGAGUGAUCCACCUGAAAAUGAACCGGAUGAUUCCCAGAUGCAUUUGUCGAUGUCGACUGGAAGCAAGAAAAGAAGCCGGGAAAUCGAUGAUUCAGUGGAAGCUAAAGGAAAAGCCCCCAAGAAAUGGACAUCGGGAAAAGAAGCUUCAAGCUCCCAGCGGCAGCCAAAACCGAAAAGUGAAAAGAACUAUGGGGAAGCUGUGCAAAACAGAUUGAAAAAUUUCCACCAUCAAAUUGACAGACGAAGAAAGACGGACAAAAUGAGAGAUUUGGAAUUUCUGACAUGGAUAAAAUCGAAAUCCUUUCCUGUCUCAUUACGAAUUCCUGCCUCCUUCAAGCAAAUCAAAACGCAGUUGCUCAUGCAUCCUGAUCUCCAAAGCAUUCUCCAAAAGAUCCAGGACAUCAAGGCCAAAUUCAAAGAUCAUCUUUUAAAUGAAGAUGACGCGAAUGAGGAAUUGGAUAUAGUAGAAGAUGAGUUAAAUAAAUUAGAUCAACAACAAUCAAAGGAACAAACAAGGGACCUUGAUGCAGUCUUCUCUAACACUAAGGUAUGCACAUUUCUUAUCAUUGGUAUUAACUAGCACAGUGUUAUUAUUUCUUAAAUAAGAUAAACUUUUCUCGUUUGUAAAUCACUCAUGGACAGACCUGUUUUUUCAAAGGUUUUUUAAUGUGUUUAGAGGAAUCUUGGAUGGUUAUAUUAAAUAUAUGUAUCCGAAUGUGUCUGUACAUGGACACUUCAAGCAAAAAUGAAGAGUCUGAACAAUCUAGAUUUUCAGUAUCAGACCACCUAAUGUUGAGGACUCUCCCUGCUUCUCUUUUCCUCCAUGGACUUUUGCAUUGAAAACUAUACAUAUUGUUGAAUCUAAGCAUUAUAUACAUACUUUUGCAUGUAUAUAUAUGUUUGAAGCUACAAACUUGAAUAUGCAUAUCUUGAUAUCUCUCUUUUUUCUAGAGGUCAUUCACCAUUUUCUAUUGUAAUUAGUAUCAGAAAAAUAGUAACCCCAAAUUGGCGUUUAUCUUCACUGUAGACAAAUCCAAGGAGUAGGUACUACUUAAUUUACCAGCUCAUUUUCAUCGCAGUCCAUUGCAUUAAUGCGAGUAAAAGAGGAAUUGAACUUAGAACUUAAAAAAUUAAAACACUAACAUUUAACCAUCAAACUAAACACUAACUAUAUUAAAAAAAGUAAAAAAAAAAUAGAACUUAAAAAGAAAAGCGCUUCAUACUGGGUGUUUUUUCACAUACUGUAAAAAAAGAUAUAUUUCCUUAAAUUUUAAAUUUGGCAUCUAGGUCUAAUUUAGUCACUAAAUUAUGAAAAGUUUUACGUAUUCAGAAAAAAUGAUAUAUUUUCUUAAAUUUUCAAAAAUUAACCUAUUUUGUCAAUUAAUCAUUUUUAGGUAUUUAGGUCUAAUUUAAUCGCUAAAUUAUAAAAAGUUGCAAAAUAACUAUCAACUAUUUGAUUUUGUCAUUUUCAAUCAUUUAUCCUUAAAUGGCUAACCAAAAGAUACAUGACAUGAUAACUUUUAAAAUUAGCAUAAUAAUAAACUUACCUCUUAAAAUUUAUAUAUUGUGUUAAUUUAGUAUUAAUUUUAAAAUUUUAAUUCUUAACAUUUACACAUAGUGUAAUUUAAUCUUUUUGUUGUUUUACUUUUCUUUGUGAUCAUUUCACAUAAAAAACAAAAACAAAAACAUAUUUAUCACUUAAAUUGAUUGAAAAUAUCUCUAAAAUUCUAAUAUAAUAAAUUUCAUCUUUUAUCAAUAUUUUAAAUUAAUCCUCAAUAAUAUAAAAGAAAGCAAAUCUGCGAAAAAAAUUAAAUUAUUAUCUUGCGUAAAUAUUAAGGGAUUAAAAUUAUUAUUAAUAUAUUAAUUUUAAAAUUACCUAUAUGAUGACAAAAAAAAAUUAAAUUAUCAUUUUAUAAUUUUAUGGAAUGAAUAAUUGGGUCACUAAUCAUCAUAAGAAAAAGGUUGAUAAGUUUAAUAUUUUAACGAUCGAUGAUAAAAAAAAGGUUUUAAUUGAUAAGUUGAAAAUUUCUUGAGUGGAAGGGAGAAGCAUGAAAAAAAAGGGGAAAAGAUAAAGACUUCAGAGUGAGAAAGAAAGGAUAAUGGUGAGGAUAAAAUUGAAAGCUUCGGCUAAUUUCUUAGCCACCCAUUUCUUGAAUUACCAUUACUAAUAAACAACAUUUUUUCCCUGAAUAAGCCCGUAUGUAUUAGGGCUGCAAUGAUUUAGUGAUGGGCCCACUUAAUUGAGCUGUAAUGCACUGGUAUUACAGCCAUCAAACAUGCUCCUACAGUUCUCCUAUUUAUAGUUCACUUCAGCCGGAUUAUCAAACUUUUAAUUAAAACCCUACCGAUAAACUCCAUCAUUUUCAACUUUACUAUUUAGCGGUGGCUGCCUCUUUUCUUCUCUACACGUGAGCAGUACUGAAAUUUGCAGACUUUCUUUUCUUCAUUUCCUAGUCGUUUCGAGUUUCUUUAGUUUAUAAUUUUCUAUCAGUUGUUUGAAGAAAACAUUUCGGUGUUGUCGAUUUGCUUGCUCUUUAUGUUUUUUAUUUGAUUUUUAAACGACUCAUCAUCUGAUCUGAGUUAAAAUUUUCAGAUCUGUACAGUUCUUUUUGAAUAGUCUCCAAGCAACUAUGGGCCUUCAACAGCUUGCGAGGGAGACAUCUUAAGCACAAUAUGACUAAACGAACCUCCAUUGUUGGCAGGAAGCAAGAAAAGAAGUCGGGAGAAGAGUUUUCGAUCGGUUCCCUUUAGCUUCUCAAAACUUAUCUGAAAUUCUUUCCCGGCUUCUUUUCUUGCUUUCUUUUUAUUGUUCGUUUGCGUUGUGCUUCAGAUGUCGCACUUCCAGGCUGUUUGAAGUUGUUUGUAGGCCAACCUAAUCUCCAUGGAAGAAAUCCAGUAGCCGAAGUUGAGGUGAAGUGGAGAUUGUUCGAAAAAACACUAUAAGUUCGAACAAUUCGAUCAGCAACGAUCAGAUCUACGCCAAUAUUUACAAAUCUAAUUAUCAAGUUUGAUUUCAUUAUCUCAAUCUUAAUUUAACUUUUUAACUUGUGGACUUUGUUGCAUCCUUCACUAAUAAUACGGUAUCCGCAUUUUUUUAUCAUUGAAAUUAACCAAUGCAUAGAAUAUUUCUUAUGUAUAGAUCUCAUUAUAAUUAUGUUGUCCUUUUUCACACGCAGAUUUGAUUUAGACCUAAUACAAAGACUUUGAUUUGAUUUGGUUGUGAGUUUUGAACAAUGGUUCACUUUUCAAAUUUUGUUAGAUGAAUCUUCGAUCUUAUACUUGUAUCCGAAUGUGUUAUGCUAAAAUACUCAUUUAUAAAAUAUAAUGUCUUUCCUCAUUCACUAGACUUGCAAAAAAGUCAUUUUCAACUUUGAUUCGGAUGUAAAUGUCGAAAACAUGUUUGCAUCUAACAUGGGUAUAUUUAGCUUCUUGUAAGGUUUUUUCAUGUGUUGAAAAUGGACACUUCUAGCAGAAUGUAGAAUCCGAAACAGGCCAGAAAGCUAAUGUUUAGGACUCUCCCUGCUUCUCCAGGCUUGCAUGGAUUUUUGCAUUGAAAACUAUAAAUAUUGUUGAAUCUUUGUAAGAACUAUAUACUUACUUUUUCAUGUUUAUACCAUUGGAGCUACAAACUUGAAAAUGCAUAUAUUAACCUCUGUUUCCUUUUUGCUGUAUAUAACAGGCUUCAAUGUCUCAAGUCAUUUUUUAGAUCUUCACAUUGAUCGUUUAUUCAUAUUUCUUUUAAAUUUCUUAAAUUUCAGGUGGUAGCAACGAGACUCUAGGAAAGAGGUAUGGGUAUUAUUUCUCUGUUACAAUAUAUGACAGUAACUUGGAACAUUCUGCACUUAAAUUUUUUUUUUGUUGUUUUCACUUUCUGCAUCAUCUCCCUGGUUUGUUUGGGAAGAAGCUGCAACUAAUGAGCCUAUUACUGUUAAAAGAGUUAAGGCUAAGUUUGAUUAUACAGCUAGACAAUACCGAAGUGGAUGUUUCAGAUUUCAAGUGCUUAAAAAAGCACUGAAAAACUAUCGCUGUAAGAUUCGAAGGGGCUCGUCGAAAAGCUACUGAGGUUUCUCAUACCGGCAUCUGAAUUCUGGUCUGUGCAGCAAUGCAAGAGAUGGAAAACGUGUGAGUCGGAAAAUUCGGGCCACGUUGAAGAAUUGGGGAGUGGCAAUCAACAAGAUCUGAACAAGAUGAUCCACAGCAACAAUGGGGAUUUGUUACAUAUGCUAUGAUGGACCUCUAACAGCUUGAGAGCGUGACAAUUUCACGCGAACGAAUUUCUAUUGUUACUCGAUGAUAACUGGGUGAACCCUAUGUCGGAUAAAGGCAAAAUAAUGUAACCGUGAACAUGUUUCAGAUAAGUUCCUUUGCUUCUUUUCUGGCUUCGGCUAACAUAGAGUUCACCUGGUUAUCAUCGGGUAACAAUGGAGGUUGUUUAACUUUAAACAAUAAUCGCGUGGUUCAAAUGUCACUCUUUCAUGCUGUUUAAGGUACUUUAUAGGUUGAUCUAAUCUCGAAGACAUUAAUCAAGAAUUUCAAGGGUGAGUUAAAAGGACACUUCGUUAGCAGAAGCUGAGACAAAGCAGAGAUUGCUCGAAACACCUGAAAGUUCAGACAAUUCGAUCAACAAUAAUAAAAGAUAUGUCAAUGUUUACAAAUCUAAUUAUUAGAUUUGAUUUUAUGAUCUAAAUCUCAGUUUAACUUUCUAACCUAGUUUAUGCAGGUACUUUAUGCAAACCAGGGUUAUCAUUGUUAUGCAGGUUUUUUCAGCAUGUUCAUGGAUUGAUAUGAAAGAAAUUACUGCAACUAAUGAUCUUGUUACUGUUAAUCAAGAUCAUAUUUCAAAGGCUUAAACCAGGCCUUGAAGAACACUACAUGGGAAGGGGGGGGGACCAGGUUACUUGAAACAAAUAUGGUAUUAGAAUCCAAAAAGCUAUCGGUAAAGCUAUUGAGGAUCCGCGGAUUCUGAGUUCUGGUCUGUAAUGCAAUCAAAUAGAUGGAAGAUUUGUUGAUCGGCGUUGAAAAAAUGGGAGCGUGGUUUUCAAUUAGAAUUUGCUGAUAAGCUGUUGCUGAAGAAUUUGCUUGCCUAUUUUGCUUACUCAACAAGGGUUGGAAGAUACUUGAAAAUGUUCAAUUUGGAUUACGUUCAAUUUGAUACUCCAUUAAUGGUUUUCACAAGCUACGCUACAAGAAAGCUAUGAAAUCUAUGCCCUUCGAACCACCUAAAAAAAAAUCUAAAGCUCUUAUAUUGUACCUACUUUUAUGGUUGCUCAAAGGGUCUUGUUGUAUUUAUAGGGGAGGUCUUGCGUCAGGUAGUUUCACGCCACCAUACUACGCCACCAAUAGUAUGGGUGGUGGCUUUGUUGUGUGGUAGGUGGCAAAUUGGUUGUUGUGGAUCGCAAUUGUGAAUGUAGUAUGAGAUUGCUAUGUUUCAAUGAUUUUGAUAUAUUAUAUAUUUUAAAAUUAUAUAAAAA